rnacentral:rRNA from 1 species
AGCGAACGCUGGCGGCAGGCCUAACACAUGCAAGUCGAACGAACUCUUCGGAGUUAGUGGCGGACGGGUGAGUAACACGUGGGAACGUGCCUUUUGGUUCGGAAUAACUCAGGGAAACUUGUGCUAAUACCGAAUGUGCCCUUCGGGGGAAAGAUUUAUCGCCAUUAGAGCGGCCCGCGUCUGAUUAGCUAGUUGGGGAGGUAACGGCUCACCAAGGCGACGAUCAGUAGCUGGUCUGAGAGGAUGACCAGCCACACUGGGACUGGGACACGGCCCAGACUCCUACGGGAGGCAGCAGUGGGGAAUCUUGCGCAAUGGGCGAAAGCCUGACGCAGCCAUGCCGCGUGAAUGAUGAAGGUCUUAGGAUUGUAAAAUUCUUUCACCGGGGACGAUAAUGACGGUACCCGGAGAAGAAGCCCCGGCUAACUUCGUG